rnacentral:lncRNA from 1 species
AGAAGCUGGAUUUUUUUGGAUCUUAGAAGCUGGCUUGACAUUGAAGUCUGUCAAAGAGAAUUUGCAUCUGCUUUUCACAGCAUCCUAGAGGUGCUACCAGUUUGGUACCACUUUGAAUAUAUUUAUCUAUUUGUGAUUUUUGGUGGCUGCAGAGGUUCUGUGAAUUUGGACUAAAAACUCUUGUAAUAUCUUAGUUAUAUAUUUUCAGAGGAAUUUUUUUUCUGUUUUUUUUUUUUUUUUGCCAGCACCAAGUCUAGAUAGAGACAGGAUCUAGCUAUGUUGCCCAGGCUGGAGGGCAAUGGUGUGAUCAUGACUAAUUGCAGCAUGAAACUCCUGGGCUCAAGUCAUCCUAUUGCCUCUGCUUCCUUAGUGACUGGGACUACAGGGGCCUCAACCAUGAACCUAGCAAUAGGCAGAGGAGACCUGAGUAAUUCUAUGAAGCGUGAACUCAUCCACACAUCUUCCCGAAGACGGAUAAAUCACGGUGCCCCAGCAGCUCCUCUUCACCUCCCAGAUAACACCUGCUGCCAGCCCUGCAAUUCUUUGGAGCCCCCUGAGUUGACUGUUGUGUCCUCAGCUUCCAUACCACAACUUAACACUAUUGAAAGAGAUGGAUAA